UACAGAGGGUGCGAGCGUUGUCCGGAAUCACUGGGCGUAAAGGGCGCGUAGGUGGCGGCCCAAGUCCAUGGUGAAAGCUCGAUGCUCAACAUCGAGUCGGCCACGGAUACUGGGUUGCUCGAGCACUGUAGGGGCAGAUGGAAUUCCGGGUGUAGCGGUGGAAUGCGUAGAGAUCCGGAAGAACACCGGUGGCGAAGGCGGUCUGCUGGGCGAGUUGCUGGACACUGGAGGCGCGACAGCGUGGGGAGCAAACAGG
rnacentral:rRNA from 1 species